AUUGAACGCUGGCGGCAUGCUUUAUACAUGCAAGUCGAACGGUAACAGGACGCCAGGUGUCGUCGAGUGGUAAACGCGUGCGUAAUACAUCCAAACGUGCCCACUCGUGGUGGAAAACUACUAGAUUGAGGAGAUCAUACCGAAUACGAUCUAUCGUUGAAAGCGGGGGGCUGAAAGGCUUAGCGCGAUUUGAGCGGUCGAUGACAGAUUAGGUAGCUGGUGGGGUAAAGGCUCACCAAGCCAACGAUCUGUAGCUCGUCUGAGAGGACGAGCCGCCACACUGGAACUGAGACACGGCCCAGACUCCUACGGGAGGCAGCAGUGGGGAAUUUUGCGCAAUGGGCGCAAGCCUGAUCGAGCAAGGCCGCGUGCGGGAAGAAGGCCUUCGGGUUGUAAACUGCUUUUGUACGGAACGAAACGGUUCUGGUGAAUACACGGGGCUAAUGACGGUACCGUAAGAAUAAGCACCGGCUAACUACGUG
rnacentral:rRNA from 1 species